UACGGAGGGAGCAAGCGUUAAUCGGAGUUACUGGGCGUAAAGCGCGCGUAGGCGGUUUGGUAAGUCGGAUGUAAAAGCCCAGGGCUUAACCUUGGAAUUGCAUUCGAUACUGCGGAAAUAGAGUAUGGUAGAGGGAAGUGGAAUUUCCGGGGUAGCGGUGAAAUGCGUAGAUAUCGGAAGGAACACCAGUGGCGAAGGCGACUUCCUGGGCCAAUACUGACGCUGAGGUGCGAAAGCGUGGGGAGCAAACAGG
rnacentral:misc_RNA from 1 species